rnacentral:misc_RNA from 1 species
CUGUGGCCCACCGAAGUGCCAU